GGGCAUCUUCCGGGAGAUGCGCGCAGAGGGAGAGAAGUAGUCUACCGGAUACCAUGCAGCUGUGGACAUGUCUACAGAGGGACCACCAAAUGCAGCAUUGCCCAAACACGAAUCAAGGAACAUGAAAGGCACUGCAGACUACUUCAGUAAGAGAAAUCAAUCAUAGCAGAACACAUAAUAAACCAAGCUGGGCACAGAAUAUUAUGUGAAAACACAGAAAUGUUGGACCACUCUGACAACCACCAUAAUCAGACUAUACAGAGAAGCCAUUGAAAUCCACAAGUAUGUGGACAAUUUCAACUGAAA